rnacentral:misc_RNA from 1 species
CCCACUUCAGUGCGAGCGCACAUAGACACAACAACGGAACGAAAUGAGAAGACAAUCCUCACACGCACACGUACGUGCACACGCUUGCGUCUCCUCAUAGAGUAAUCACUACUACCUUCUUCCCAUUCACGGUAAAAGCGCGCAUGUCUGUGAGCUCCCCGUCAGCGUCUCGUAGCGGGAGCUGCGGUAGAAACGACCGAAGCGGCAGCCGUGAAGAGGAGGAUAGGUGCCUGUUGUCGGUGUCCGCAACUGAAGGAACGCGCUCCAAGACAUCAGGCUCUGCGUCCACCGCCUCUGCCUCUGCCUCGUCCGCGUCUGGCGAGGACUCCUUGGCGGAGUUCAGCUCUAGUGGUGCCGCUACAUCCUCCGUAUCCCGGUCAGCAUCGGCCUCCACCUUCAGUACCGCAUCCUCGAGCACCGGCAGCUCUGGCGAAGGAGACAACGACGGAGACGACGCGGUGGAGGCGCCGCGCAAGCUGCCGCGCACGGAGGAGGUGGACCAUCGGCUGCGUGACUCAUUCCCCACCGGAGCAGUGACCACCGUGGCGCGAUCGGUGCGGAGCGGCGCAUCGAUUUUGCCACCUCCGCCAUCGCCGCCUGUCGGUGCGGCACGAUAUGGCCCCGCCUUCCCUCGCCGGCCGCCCGAUGCGUGGGCUGCACCGCCGCCGCUGCCUACUCUGAGCGCGUCUGCAAAGGACAUCAGUGAGAUGGACGUGCGCGCCGGCUUGCGCCUCGGUGUGUUCCGCGCGGCCACACGGCUGAGCAAGGAGCAGGUGAUGGACGAGAUCGAGUCGGUGCGCAUGACGAGCCACGUGGAACGAGUGCUUCUGGAGUCGCCUCAUCAGAUCGCGCUGCUCCCAGGCGUUCCACCACUGGAGCAGGAGUAUGCUUGGGCAACGGUUUUCUUCUCGAGCGCCGAGGCUGCGGACCUGUGCGCGGCCCUGCUUUGUCAGCCGGGCAGACGCUCCAAGUGGGCGCGUGUGAGUAUUCAGCGGCUACCCAUUGUGUCAAGUCAGACGGAGCCGCACACCGCCGAGGAGGAGCAGCGUGCGCAGGUGCACGUUUACCAGAUGAACGCCGUCGCGCACCGCCUGACGAAAGGGGACGGUGCCGCGCUCCUUUGCGGUGUCCACGACACCGUCCUCGCGCAGAGCGCCUAUGGGUGGUGCGUUCUGUCGACUGGGGGCCUCUUUCCAACCUCGGGCUUGGCGGCGUAUCUGAAACAUCGCCACGUCGGCAACUUCACGGGGAUCGACGUAUGCGCCGACUUUGAUCCGCGAUGCGACGAGGACAAGUGCGCGGCUGGUGGGCAGUGCAAAGGGGUGCACCUGCGCGCUUGCGAGCAGUGGCGAUUACUAGUUCCACCAGUGCUCAUAUCGAAAAGGGAGACCUUGACGGCCGGCACGCCGACGCUGGUGAUCACCUCGCCAGCGGAGAGCGCCUGGCAGAGGGCGAGACGCAAGGAUACGCUCCUCGUGAUGCCGCUUCCCCCUGAAAUCGAUGAAGCGGCCUUUGUAUACAUGUUUCGUUGGUGUGACGGGUUUCAGCGCGCGCAGACGGUGCGCACGGUGGAUGCUCUACGGUACGGUGUGGUGCAGUUUGCGGACGCCGCGAGUGCUCAGCUGGCGCGGCAGCAGGCCAUCUCCCACUCCAAUCUGCCCGUUCGCUUCGUGGGAGAGACGGCAGCCGAUGCCAACAGCACUGAGUCUUUGAAAGCCUCACCGGCGGCCUCGUCGACAGAGCCCACCGGCUCUGCCACGGCGCGCCCUCCCAACAAGUCCCGCACAGCUGCGCCGAGUGGCGCUAAUGCCGUGCCUGCUUCCGGUACCAGCACUGCCGCCGCGACGCACGCGCCGGAUGUCCCGUUUCCGCCUCUUCCCGGCGGCUGGGAGUACGGGCUGUCGCGCCGCACGAUGCAAUACUACUUUCUGCAGUCGGGCAAGAAGUCGACGACAUGGAAACAUCCUAUUACACAGGAACAGUACAAAGCCCACCGCUGACCGUCCUGGGACGAUUUCAUACCUCGUUUGCCUUUGGGCAGCCGGGCCGAGCAAAACGAGAGGUGCGUGGUCAAGUGGGCGUGGAGGGGAAGGGUGUAGACUGAGAGGGGACCUUCCAUCUCCUCUUCCCCCGCCACUGUCCCCCCCCCUUCUCCAUUCCUGUGAAGCCCAUUCUUUACUUCUCCAUACGUGACGUUUCACCGUCUAGUUUUGUUGUGGCGGUUGUGCGGAAAG